rnacentral:misc_RNA from 1 species
CCGAAUUGUCAACACGAGUUGUUGCUGGUCCUCAAACGGGGGCAUGUGCACACUCUGUUUACACAUCCACUCACACCUGUGCACCCUCCGUAGUUCUGUGGCCUGGGGGGCUCUGCUCCCCCUGCUGUGGUUCUAUGUAUUUACACACACACACACUGUAAUGAAGUCUCAUGGAAUGUAUGUCGCGUUUAACGCAAUACAAUA